CGGUGCCGGAAGGUUAAUUGAUGGGGUUAGCGCAAGCGAAGCUCUUGAUCGAAGCCCCGGU
rnacentral:rRNA from 1 species